rnacentral:rRNA from 1 species
UACGUAGGGUGCGAGCGUUAAUCGGAAUUACUGGGCGUAAAGCGUGCGCAGGCGGCUAUGCAAGACAGAUGUGAAAUCCCCGGGCUUAACCUGGGAAUGGCAUUUGGGACUGCAAGGCUCGAGUGCGGCAGAGGAGACUGGAAUUCCUGGUGUAGCAGUGAAAUGCGUAGAUAUCAGGAGGAACACCGAUGGCGAAGGCAGGUCUCUGGGCUGACACUGACGCUCAUGCACGAAAGCGUGGGGAGCAAACAGG